rnacentral:rRNA from 1 species
GACGUAGGGCGCGAGCGUUUGUCCGGAUUUAUUGGGCGUAAAGAGCUCGUAGGCGGCUUGUCGCGUCGACUGUGAAAACCCGAGGCUCAACUUCGGGCUUGCAGUCGAUACGGGCAGGCUAGAGUUCGGUAGGGGGAGACUGGAAUUCCUGGUGUAGCGGUGAAAUGCGCAGAUAUCAGGAGGAACACCGAUGGCGAAGGCAGGUCUCUGGGCCGAUACUGACGCUGAGGAGCGAAAGCGUGGGGAGCGAACAGG